CGGUGAAAUGCGUAGAGAUCGGGAGGAACACCAGUGGCGAAGGCGGCCUACUGGGCUUUAACUGACGCUGAAGCACGAAAGCAUGGGUAGCAAACAGGAUUAGAUACCCUGGUAGUCCAUGCCGUAAACGAUGAUUACUAGGUGUGGGGGGUCUGACCCCUUCCGUGCCGGAGUUAACACAAUAAGUAAUCCACCUGGGGAGUACGACCGCAAGGUUGAAACUCAAAGGAAUUGACGGGGGCCCGCACAAGCAGUGGAGUAUGUGGUUUAAUUCGAAGCAACGCGAAGAACCUUACCAGGUCUUGACAUCUAUCGAAACCCUAAGAGAUUAGGGCGUGCCCUUCGGGGAACGGUAAGACAGGUGGUGCAUGGUUGUCGUCAGCUCGUGUCGUGAGAUGUUGGGUUAAGUCCCGCAACGAGCGCAACCCUUACUGUUAGUUGCUACGCAAGAGCACUCUAGCAGGACUGCCGUUGACAAAACGGAGGAAGGUGGGGACGACGUCAAAUCAUCAUGCCCCUUAUGACCUGGGCUACACACGUACUACAAUGGUCGUUAACAGAGAGAAGCAAGCCCGCGAGGUGGAGCAAAACUCUAAAAACAGUCUCAGUUCGGAUUGUAGGCUGCAACUCGCCUACAUGAAGAUGGAAUUGCUAGUAAUCGCGGAUCAGCAUGCCGCGGUGAAUACGUUCCCGGGCCUUGUACACACCGCCCGUCACACCAUGGGAGCCGGUAAUACCCGAAGUCAGUAGUCUAACAGCAAUGAGGACGCUGCCGAAGGUAGGAUUGGCGACUGGGGUGA
rnacentral:rRNA from 1 species